GCGGGUGUGGUGGAAUGGUAGACGCGGCAGAUUCAAAAUCUGCUUCCGAGAGGAGUGUCGGUUCGAGUCCGACCACCCGUACCA
rnacentral:tRNA from 1 species